UUUGUAUCAGAUGCUUUGUUUG
rnacentral:miRNA from 1 species